rnacentral:rRNA from 1 species
UCGAGAAUUUUUCACAAUGGGGGCAACCCUGAUGGAGCGACGCCGCGUGGAGGAUGAAGGGCUUCGGCUCGUAAACUCCUGUCACCCCAGACAAAUACGAUCCGGUGAACAUCCGGAGCGUUUGAUGGUAUGGGGAGAGGAAGGGACGGCUAACUCUGUGCCAGCAGCCGCGGUAAUACAGAGGUCCCAAGCGUUGUUCGGAUUUACUGGGCGUAAAGGGUGCGUAGGAGGCUUGGAAAGUCAGGUGUGAAAUCUCGCCGCUUAACGGCGAAAUGGCGCUUGAUACUCCCGAGCUAGAAGAUCGGAGGGGAGAACGGAAUUCCUGGUGUAGCGGUGAAAUGCGUAGAUAUCAGGAGGAACACCAACGGCGAAGGCAGUUCUCUGGACGAUUCUUGACUCUGAGGCACGAAGGCCAGGGGAGCAAACGGG